GGCCGGCUCAGUCCACCGCCCCGCCCCCGGCCUCGCGCCCCACCCCUUGGAUGAGGAAACUGAAACUGAGAGGGGACGUGAUUGAUCCAAGGUCAUACAGAAAGUCAGGCCCUGGGGAGUACAGGGCCAGGCCUGGGGCAAAAGGCCGGUGGGCGUCCAGUACGCCACAGGGACCAGCCAAAGGAGGCAGUGCCCAGUGAUGCUUUCCCAAAUCCAGGGGAGAAGGACUCAACGACAUAUGCCCAACCCAGAGCUGGAUCACAAGGAAGACUGGAAGCUCCACCCUCCCCCCCCAUGGAGCUUCCCUGUUACAAGAGGACACAAACAUACAUCUGCAUGUUGAUCUGAGAGCCCUGUGUGGAGAGGAACUAGGCCCCCAGCCAACAACCAGCAGUGACUCACUGUGAGAGAGUGAAUCAUCUUGGAAGUGGAUCCUAAGCCCCAAUAGAGACUUCAGAUGAGACUGCAACCCUGGCUGACAUCUGACUGCAGUGGCAUAAGAAACCCUGAGUCAGAAUCACCCUGCAAAGCCCAAAUUCUUGACCCACCAAGUGAAAGAGAAUAAAUGACUAUUGUUGUGUUUG